CAAGCGGUGGAGCAUGUGGUUUAAUUCAAAGCAACGCGCAGAACCUUACCAGCCUUUGACAUGGCGGGACGGCAUCGAGAGAUUGAUGUCUUCACUUCGGUGACCCGCGCACAGGUGCUGCAUGGCUGUCGUCAGCUCGUGUCGUGAGAUGUUGGGUUAAGUCCCGCAACGAGCGCAACCCACGUCCUCAGUUGCCAUCAUUCAGUUGGGCACUCUGGGGAGACUGCCGGUGAUAAGCCGCGAGGAAGGUGUGGAUGACGUCAAGUCCUCAUGGCCCUUACGGGCUGGGCUACACACGUGCUACAAUGGCGCAGACAAAGAGAAGCGACCUCGCGAGAGCAAGCGGACCUCAAAAAGUGCGUCCAAUUCCGAAUGGGAUUCGGCACCUCAACGCCUGGAAUUCGAAUUCCCUGGUAUUCUUGAAUCACACUGCCACGGUGAUUACUUUCCCGGGCCUGGAACACACC
rnacentral:rRNA from 1 species